UACGGAGGGGGCUAGCGUUGUUCGGAAUUACUGGGCGUAAAGCGCACGUAGGCGGCUUGGCAAGUUAGAGGUGAAAGCCUGGAGCUCAACUCCAGAAUUGCCUUUAAGACUGCCGAGCUAGCAGGUGAGAGAGGUGAGUGGAAUUCCGAGUGUAGAGGUGAAAUUCGUAGAUAUUCGGAAGAACACCAGUGGCGAAGGCGGCUCACUGGCUCAUACUGGACGCUGAGGUGCGAAAGCGUGGGGAGCAAACAGG
rnacentral:rRNA from 1 species